CCUACGGGAGGCAGCAGUGGGGAAUAUUGCACAAUGGGCGAAAGCCUGAUGCAGCAACGCCGCGUGAGUGAUGAAGGCCUUCGGGUCGUAAAGCUCUUUGAUCAGGGAUGAUAAUGACAGUACCUGAAAAACAAGCCACGGCUAACUACGUGCCAGCAGCCGCGGUAAUACGUAGGUGGCGAGCGUUGUCCGGAAUUACUGGGCGUAAAGGAUGCGUAGGUGGAUACUUAAGUGGGAUGUGAAAUCCCCGGGCUCAACCCGGGAACUGCAUUCCAAACUGGGUAUCUAGAGUGCAGGAGAGGAAAGCGGAAUUCCUAGUGUAGCGGUGAAAUGCGUAGAUAUUAGGAGGAACACCAGUGGCGAAGGCGGCUUUCUGGACUGUAACUGACACUGAGGCAUGAAAGCGUGGGUAGCAAACAGGAUUAGAUACCCCAGUAGU
rnacentral:rRNA from 1 species